ensembl:lncRNA
CUAGGGUUCAUGGAGCCAGCCCUCGCCUCCUGCUGGUGACAACCGUGAACAGAAUGUCCACCACGUGCCAGGACGCUAAUCCUCUCACAGCUCAGUGAGAGAUUCUGCACCCUCUUCACAGCGGAGCCCGCAGAACAGACCCAAAGUGCAGUGCCCUCUGGCCACCUGCAGAUCCCGGACUGUUUCUGCCAGUGCUCACUGGCCCCAAAGGAGACAGCACUGCUGGUUUUACUGCACGUGGUGAUUUCCUGUCCUCAGACGUGCUUUCUUCUUAUAAAGGGGUGACGUGGGGUUCAGGCCUGAGCCUAGUAGGAAUUCUGACACGUUUGGGCCCAUCUGUAGGAAAGGCUGGCCAGAGACUGUCGACGGGAAAGAUUCAUUCCAAGGACAGAGAGACCCAGGGCAGCCAGUGUGGCCUAGGAUCUGAGCUUCCAUCACCAGAACCAAGGGCGGAGAGAGCAUUGUUGCCUCUUGGGUGGUCCUUGGCGGCCCUCAUAGACACCUCUUUGACGUCCACAGAAAGGGAGCUUGAACAAAAUCUGAAAGGACCAUUUCAUCCAAAGUUCUGCGAGAGCUAAACGGUCCCCAGUAGGUCUACGACAUUCCCCUCCCCUGAAACUCCACCUAUGACUCAGCACUGCCCUCUCCUGGGUGGGGAGAUGCCGCCUUUGUGACGCAGGCCCCCAUCCCUCCCCAGGUUUGCGCCUCAGCCCAGUGAGCACCUCCCCUGGAGAGCCCAGCAGUGCUCAGGGGCAGACACUCACGCGGGCAGUGACCAGUCCGCAGCAGUCCCCGCUGACGCCGCACCAGCUGUGGGCCAGGUGCUAGGACCCUGUGACAAGUUGGGGCUCAGCCACCCAUGAGCCAAGGUCGGACCACGCUUUGCCCCCACUUGCUUGUUUAGAUCCCAACAUGGCAGCUCCGGUGGCAGGCCGGGAGGAACCCAGGCCCUUGUGCUGGGAUGCGCAGCACCGCUGGGGAGGGAGCUCCGACUCAGCAGCCGCUUCACAGCGUGUGUCUGCGGCGUGAUCGGGAACACGGAACUCUGCCACUGAGGACAAGAAAAACAAACGUACAUACUAAGCACAGACAAUGAAGAAGCGAAUAGCUUGUGAGAUACAGACAAAACUCACCAGACGGUUAAGUACCGCUAAUCAGUUAGUCCCCUGUGAGACAUACCAGCUAGAAAGUAAGCAGAGCGCAUGUGCGCCAACGUGGCUAGGACGAUGGGAGGACCAAGUAGGCACAAAUCUCCGUGAGGCAAAUGAUGCUCCAGAUACUCAUCAUGCACCGUAUGAUACACUUGAACUCGAAAUACUACAAUACGGUAAAUACACGGGAGGCAGCCAAGGCUCCAGAAUCCACGAUACACUAAUGUGCAGGAAGUGCAAGAGGCAGUCAACGUUCAUGAGUCUUAAGUUGGCCACUGUUUUAAAAUGUACCCAGAUUUAUUUUCACCAGGUAUGGUAAGAUGCAGACACAGCAAUUACUGUCGCGAAGGAAGAAGUUUCAUACUCACAGAUCCCUAGAAACAGGCCUGCGGAGGAGCCACACGGGGAAGCACGGAGGCCGGUCAGGAGGCAGAAUGAGAGGGGAAAGCAGAGGCAGGAGCCUUCACUGUGGUUUCCCAGAAGCAACAAGAAGCCGGGGUAGCACUAAUGUACAAUUUAGCUGAUGCUGAGUCUUCCCCAAGGCUGCAGGGUACAGCCUGGCAAAGGGAGAAACUCACCAUUUCCCACACUGUCUGCCAUCACUAUAUUGCACUGCCAAGGCAGAGAAGUUGGUCAGAAGAUUCUCCCACCAUCCAAUGGAUCAGAUGCUUAUUAGCGAGAUGCUGGUUAACAAGUGGCCAGUUGCUAACAGAACUUCAGUGGCGUACCAGGAACCCGCUGGACUUGAAGUCCAAAUUGUGUCAUUCUGAUUUUCUGGAACUACUGUCAUCUGUCUUUGCACAGUGCUUACUGGGUCUAUCCCCAACCCCUGUCAGGUGUUCUACAGAAAUGUUUGCUUUGAAUGGUGAUAAAGCAAUAAAGAUCACUCUCUACCUACCAUUCAUAUUCCCUCUUCUCUAAAAUUCUCUCUUCAGAGAACUGGGGUUCUCUAAAACUCUCUGAGAAGUUGACCUUAC